UCCCCUGUAGUUCAAAGGUAGAACGCCACGCUGUUAACGUGGAUGUUGUAGGUUCGAGUCCUACCGGGGGAG
rnacentral:tRNA from 1 species